GUCAAGACUGCAGACAACACAAUGGCGGCUUUCUUACUUCAUCUUAAUUGGAAUCUUGAACAAUGCAGGGAACCUUCCGACGUCUCCGCCACCUUACCGGAAGUUGGUACGACUUUCGGUCGAGAAGUGCCCAGGGCACCAGCUUGGUCUGGAACCUCAUACAACUGUUGAGAUUCGUCAUCGACGAAUCCGGAACCAUCUUCGCUUUGUACGGACAGUGAAAGGAGUUGUGGAGGUGGUGGUAAGGGCCUCCCAACCCUCUCUACCCACAUGGCUUAUGUGCCUAUCCAGCUUCUGGACCACCUUGAGGUGGUAAGGGUCUUCUAACCUUCCCUACACCACCUCGAAAUUUUAACAACCUCCAAAAUCCCCUUUGAGAUACUCUAGCUGGCAACGUUCACUGAUGUGCAUCUUUAAGGUGACGUCAAGAACAUCAGUCUCUCUUACGCUGUCUCAAAAGGAACAUUAUAUGCUGCUGGCUUAGCCAGCUAGUUCAGUACGACCUCUCGUGUAUCAUGACCUAUGACUGUGCCAUCUUUGUUUAAAAUAAACAACCCUGCAUA